ACCAGACUCCUACGGGAGGCAGCAGUGGGGAAUAUUGCACAAUGGGGGAAACCCUGAUGCAGCGACGCCGCGUGAGUGAAGAAGUAUUUCGGUACGUAAAGCUCUAUCAGCAGGGAAGAAAAAAAGUCCUUUGGACUUUGGACGGUACCUGACCAAGAAGCCCCGGCUAACUACGUGCCAGCAGCCGCGGUAAUACGUAGGGGGCAAGCGUUAUCCGGAUUUACUGGGUGUAAAGGGAGCGUAGACGGCAGCGCAAGUCUGGAGUGAAAUGCCGGGGCCCAACCCCGGAACUGCUUUGGAAACUGUGCAGCUGGAGUGCAGGAGGGGCAGGCGGAAUUCCUGGUGUAGCGGUGAAAUGCGUAGAUAUCAGGAGGAACACCGGUGGCGAAGGCGGCCUGCUGGACUGCAACUGACGUUGAGGCCCGAAAGCGUGGGGAGCAAACAGGAUUAGAUACCCCAGUA
rnacentral:rRNA from 1 species